rnacentral:tRNA from 1 species
UAGGGAAUGGUCGGGAUAGCUCAGUGGUAGAGCAGAGGUACUGAAAAUCCU